CCUGGGGAGUACGGUCGCAAGAUUAAAACUCAAAGGAAUUGACGGGGGCCCGCACAAGCAGCGGAGCAUGUGGUUUAAUUCGAAGCAACGCGAAGAACCUUACCUAGACUUGACAUCUCCUGCAUUACCCUUAACCGGGGAAGUUCCUUCGGGAACAGGAAGACAGGUGGUGCAUGGUUGUCGUCAGCUCGUGUCGUGAGAUGUUGGGUUAAGUCCCGCAACGAGCGCAACCCUUAUUGUUAGUUGCUACCAUUUAGUUGAGCACUCUAGCGAGACUGCCCGGGUUAACCGGGAGGAAGGUGGGGAUGACGUCAAAUCAUCAUGCCCCUUAUGUCUAGGGCUACACACGUGCUACAAUGGCAAGUACAAAGAGAAGCAAUACCGCGAGGUGGAGCAAAACUCAAAAACUUGUCUCAGUUCGGAUUGUAGGCUGAAACUCGCCUACAUGAAGCUGGAGUUGCUAGU
rnacentral:rRNA from 1 species